CCGACUCACCCUCCUCCGUCAUUUCUUUCUCUCUCAACUCUGUUCGUUUCUCUGCAACUGAAGCUGCCGGGAUUUUGUGAAAGAAUCAUGGUGAAGGUUAAUUGGAAUGUUUAAGCUAAUUGGUCUGGAAUCACUAGGAGUAGCUAGAUUAUUCAACUUCAGAUCCAUGCGGUAUUCCGUCUGCCUAAAAUUGCAAGGAGAGAUACUGAGAUAGAUAAACUUAAAAUGGAAGUUGUUGGUGGAAAUUUGGUGGGAUUCAGCCUUUAUGCAUUCUGGCUAUACGGAUGUGGGUGAGACAAAGAGAACUCCACACUGACUGUGCGCCUCCUUAAAAACAUGCCCGAAGAGAAGAUAGCAAGAUUGUCUGAACUUGUCCGGGAUUACUACAUAUUUGUACCUGAUGAUGCAAAGGCCAAGAAGGCAAUCAGAACACUAUUGAGGCUAGAAUAUGGGAGAUAUUGAUCUGAACUAGCAAAUCAUUAUAGAUCAUUUGCGACCCACGAGGAUCCAUCCAUGAGAAUCCGCAACAUUGACGCCUGGACUUUCAUUUGCACCUUCUUUAACAGUGACGAGUUUAAGCUUUUAUUGUGGGAUGUUCUUAAUGAAGUCAUCUGCCUGUUGAUUAGGAGGAAGAUUUCAGUGCAACUGAUUAAUAUUCUGAUAAUGGAUGUUUUAUCGUAGGGUGUUCGCCGUGGAGUUGUUCAAAAAACAGUAUUUUGAGGAUACAUGUGAUUAGAGAAUGAAGCGUGGACUAUUGAAUCUGUGCACGAGUAAAUUCUGUGGUAGAGAUGCAAAUAUCACAAUGAUACCAGGAAAAGGUCCUUGGCACUUGAAGCUGGUGAGACAAAGGGGUUUAUCUCCCUGAUCGCUGAAUAGUUCCGUGGUUUCAGCUGAAAGAAGUAAUAAAUGGUCAAUAUUAUUGGAGCUGAUCGGUUUAAUGAGCAUACAUUGCCCCGGAGUAUUUGGUUAGAUGUUCAAUUACAGAAAAGGUUCAGCUUUGGAGUUUCCAUACUUGUAAUUUCAACGGAAAAGAAAUCUUUUGAUUUGGAAAGACUCGCCAACGAGGAGUCGGAAUAUCUAUUGAACCUGGCCAAGGAUUAACAUCAGAAGGGAGAUCUUCUGUCGCUGAUUGAUGAAGACUUGGCAUCGAGUAAUUCUGGGAAAGAAGCAACCAUGUUACUGGAUUUGGCACUGUUAUGUACUAAUGAAUCUCCAGAGUUGAGGCCUUCCAUGUCAGAUGUAGUAAACAUUCUUGAAGGGAAUACUACAAUGAAGAACCCUCCUAUUGAUCCGCUGUAUGUGACAACAAUCAGGUACGAGGAGGUCAUGUCUGAGAUUGAAAGUGCAAGCAGCAGUUCAUCAUAUACAAAGCUGACGCGUGACGGGUUUGUUUAUAAUCCUAAUGAUGACUGGGAUGGUGAUGAUGCAAAUUUAUCCUGUCAAGUUGCACCAAAGGUAAAGGAAGACGAUACUCGUCCCGAACUUCAUAAUAAUUUUGUUUCUGAUUUAAAGGCGUUUUUAAGUAAGCAGGAGAAGAGAAUGAUAAAGUUGAGUAUGUUAAACCGGUCGUAGAAACACAUGAAACAUAUGAAACCACGACUUUUAGUUUAAGGUAUAUUGAGGUUGUAACCGGAAAUUCAGCCCAGCAAAUAAGAUUGGUCAAGGUUCUUCUGGUUCAGUUUACAAGAUGAUUGCAGUGAAGCAACUGUCCCUGGAAUCAUCUGACAAAGGAAAAGUGGAGUUUCUAAAUGAAGUGAACACUUUGUCUACCUUGAGGCACCCAAAUAUUAUUAGUAUAUGAGUACAUGGAAAAUGGAUGUCUAAACAGAGCUUUAUUUGGUCCAGUGAAUUUGAAGAACAAACUUAGUUGGCCAGCAAGACUUAGAAUUCGCACCGGAAUGGCAAGGGGUCUUCUGUAUCUGCAUGAUGUCAACUCAAAAAUGAAGAUUGUUCACAGAGACAUUAAACUUUCAAAUAUCUUGCUUGAUAAAGAUCUCAAUCCUAAGAUAUCAGAUUUUGGGUUAACCAUGUAUUACAACAGAGCAAUCACACAUAUUAAGACUGGUCUAGCAGGAACAGUAGGAUAUAUGGCCCCUGAAUAUGUGAUACGAGGAACAGUAAUUGAGAAAAUAGACAUAUACAGCUUUGGAAUAGUAACACUUCAACUCAUGACCGGAAAAAAUAGAAUUCAAUGGAAGACAAAGCAUGAAAGCAUUUCCCUUCUAGAUUUGGCCUGUGAUUUACAACAAAGGGGAGAUCUUUUAGGGCUAUUUGAUCAAGAUGUGAGGAUGAACAUUCCAGUGAAAGAAGCGGAGAUGGUGUUAAAUUUGGCAAUCUUGUGUACCAAUUAUGACCCGAAGUUAAGGCCUACUAUGUCAGAAGUGGUGGACACUUCGGCAAUCUUAUGUUCUAACUGAAACUGCACAACAAGAAUCGACUCUACAAUGCACUAUGGCAAUGCUGUUUCCUCGAGUGAUGUGUUUGACUAUAAUGAUGGGGUGACUACAGGUUCUUCCUCUAAUGAUGUACCAGAAGUGGAUCAAAUCAAUAAAGAUGUUGAAUUCCAUCGUGAUUUCAUUUUCAGUUCAAACACUCUUGUUGGUGAAGUCGUGAAGAGUGAUAAGCCAUUUAGCCAAGUGAUUACUACAUCAGAACAGCCACUAGGAUUGAAUAUUAAGCGGCAAACUUCUUCAUUUUCUAAGGACACAUACUACCAAAAAGGAGUACAAAGUAAGCUUGAACUUUUUGAACCCUUCUUUGAAGAAGGAAAACUCCAUAUUGAAUUUUCUGAUGAUGAGUUCAGAGCCGUAUGCGAUGAAUGGGAGAAUUCCUUGGUAGGCUUUUUUGUGGGUGAAGAUGUCCCCUUCAGCAUGGACCUAAAUUUUGUUGAAGAACUUGGGAAGUGAAAGGAGAUAUUUCUGUGUUCAGAAUAGAAAAUGGAUACUUUAUAUUUCAGUUCAGUUGUGUUGAACAAAAGAUGAGAAUUCUAGAAUCAGCAGACCUCUGGAGAAUAAAACAAAGGCAAUUAAUUCUGAAAGAGUGGGAUUGGAAGUUGAUGCUUGAAAGAAUGGAUAUGGGAUCUCUUCCAAUCUGGGUAAAGAUUUACAACUUCCCGCUCAUUUUUUGGAUGACUCCUGUUCUCAGUAAAGUUGGGAGUGGACUAGGGACUCCUCUUUAUGCUGAUCAGAAGACACUGAACAAACAGCAAUUAGCUUAUGCCAUGCUUUGUAUAGAAUUUGACGCCAAUAAGACAUUGCCAGAGUCUCUGUGUAUUCUAGUGAAAGGUACGGAGUAUCAUCUAAACUUGGAAUAUGAUUGGAAACCCUUGAGGUGUGAAAUCUGUUGCACUUUUGGUCACAUAGACUUGAAUUGUAUGGCGAAGAUGAAGGCUAGGAAACAAAACUAGGCUCAAAUUUGUUGCUUGUACUUACUGUUGGCGCAGCGGAGAACUGAGAUGAAUGCAGGAAGAACGCCAGGGCGGAACCAGAGUUGCCUGUCUUUUAGCUUAGCUCCUGCAAAAUCAUGACAUGUUAAACCAAUGCCUAUAUUACCAGUAAGAAGCAUCUCAAAGUGACAGAAAGAAAAGGCUGAGAUGGAGGGAUCAAAGCUUUGUUCUGAUUCUGCUGCUGGGUAUAUAUAAUUUAGUGGUUCUUUCCUUUCUUUGUGGAGGAGAUCUCUUUGUUCUGAUUGUUAAACACUAUGAAUAAUAAUCAAUGCCGACUUGACUAAAACCUGUACUUCGGAAAGUUAUUAUACUUGGUUUAAA